AACGCGAAGAACCUUACCUGGGCUCGAAAUGUAGUGGACUGGGGUAGAAAUAUCCCUUUCUCGCAAGAGACUGCUAUAUAGGUGCUGCAUGGCUGUCGUCAGCUCGUGUCGUGAGAUGUUGGGUUAAGUCCCGCAACGAGCGCAACCCUUAUUGCCAGUUGCCAUCGGGUCAAGCCGGGCACUCUGGCGAAACUGCCUCGGAUAACGAGGAGGAAGGUGGGGAUGACGUCAAGUCCUCAUGGCCUUUAUGUCCAGGGCUACACACGUGCUACAAUGGUCGGUACAAACCGUCGCAAACCCGCGAGGGGGAGCUAAUCGGAAAAAGCCGACCUCAGUUCGGAUUGGAGUCUGCAACUCGACUCCAUGAAGCUGGAAUCGCUAGUAAUCGCAGAUCAGAACGCUGCGGUGAAUACGUUCCCGGGCCUUGUACACACCGCUACAGU
rnacentral:rRNA from 1 species